ensembl:snRNA U6 U6 spliceosomal RNA
UUGGCAGCCCAGGUAAGUAUACUAAAGUGGAACGGAACAGAAAAGAUCAGUUUAGCCCCUGAGUAAGGGUGACACAAACAUUCCGAAGAGUUACAUUUCUAG